rnacentral:rRNA from 1 species
CCUACGGGGGGCAGCAGUGGGGAAUAUUGGACAAUGGGGGCAACCCUGAUCCAGCCAUGCCGCGUGUGUGAAGAAGGCCCUCGGGUUGUAAAGCACUUUCAGUGAGGAAGAACGCCUGGUGGUUAAUACCCAUCAGGAAAGACAUCACUCACAGAAGAAGCACCGGCUAACUCCGUGCCAGCAGCCGCGGUAAUACGGAGGGUGCGAGCGUUAAUCGGAAUUACUGGGCGUAAGCGCGCGUAGGUGGCUUGAUAAGCCGGUUGUGAAAGCCCCGGGCUCAACCUGGGAACGGCAUCCGGAACUGUCAAGCUAGAGUGCAGGAGAGGAAGGAAGAAUUCCCGGUGUAGCGGUGAAAUGCGUAGAGAUCGGGAGGAAUACCAGUGGCGAAGGCGGCCUUCUGGACUGACACUGACACUGAGGUGCGAAAGCGUGGGUAGCAAACAGGAUUAGAUACCCUAGUAGUC